rnacentral:rRNA from 1 species
CUACGGGCCGCUGCAGUGAGGAAUAUUGCACAAUGGGGGGAACCCUGAUGCAGCAACGCCGCGUGGAGGAUGACGCAUUUCGGUGUGUAAACUCCUUUUAUAUGUCAAGAAAAUGACGGUAGCAUAUGAAUAAGCACCGGCUAACUCCGUGCCAGCGAGCCGCGGUAAUACGGAGGGUGCAAGCGUUACUCGGAAUCACUGGCGUAAAGGACGCGUAGGCGGGUUGGAAAGUCAGGUGUGAAAUCCUACAGCUUAACUGUAGAACUGCACUUGAAACUUCUAAUCUAGAGUAUGGGAGGGGGAGAUGGAAUUAGUGGUGUAGGGGUAAAAUCCGUAGAUAUCACUAGGAAUACCUAAAGCGAAGGCGAUCUCCUGGAACAUUACUGACGCUAAGGCGUGAAAGCGUGGGGAGCAAACAGGAUUAGAUACCCCCGUAGUC